rnacentral:rRNA from 1 species
GACGAACGCUGGCGGCGUGCUUAACACAUGCAAGUCGAACGGAAAGGCCCUGCUUGCAGGGUGCUCGAGUGGCGAACGGGUGAGUAACACGUGGGUGAUCUGCCCCUUACUUUGGGAUAAGCCUGGGAAACUGGGUCUAAUACUGGAUAGGACCAUGCUGUAGGUGGUGUGGUGGAAAGAUUAGUUUCGGUAAGGGAUGAGCUCGCGGCCUAUCAGCUUGUUGGUGGGGUAAUGGCCUACCAAGGCGUCGACGGGUAGCCGGCCUGAGAGGGUGGACGGCGACAUUGGGACUGAGAUACGGCCCAGACUCCUACGGGAGGCAGCAGUGGGGAAUAUUGCACAAUGGGGGCAAGCCUGAUGCAGCGACGCCGCGUGGGGGAUGACGGCCUUCGGGUUGUAAACUCCUUUCAGCCAUGACGAAGCCCUUGUGGUGACGGUAGUGGUAGAAGAAGCACCGGCUAACUACGUG